AUGAAUUCUGAUUCUAGGGAAACGACGACGCUGCAAGUAGAUCACUCCCAACUCAGUGACCUCGCCAUCGGUGAUUGCGUUUUUGCAGAACUGCUGCUGAACUCUGUUCCAAAACUCACACGGUUGGCCUUUGAGGGUUGGAUCUCUUUCCAUUAUCCACUUUCAGUUGGCGAUGCCCCAUUGCUUGAGGCCGUCAAACUCAAUAAUGUUGCUCUCAGUUGGCACAAGAUGGUUGAGUUAAGUAAGUUUCUUUGUGGUACCUCUGUGCGUGACCUGAAGUUGGGAUUUAAAUGUGAAAAGAUCUGGGUCCAACCAGAGUGCUUGACGAAAAGCCUGGCAUCUGUUUUUCGCCAACUAAGGUUUGUGAAUCUAGAUGAAAUUCCUGAAGGGUAUGAUCUGACCUGGACACUGUUCAUCCUUAAAGCUGCACCCCUCCUAAAGGAGCUAUACAUAACGGUGUGGGACCAUCUUUGUAAAAUGGUAACAGAUGAGGAGAAGAGGAAGGAACGCUUGUUUAGCGAGGAGAAGGGUGUAGAGUGGGAAUCAUCUGCUUCUGACUUCCAUCAUGAGAAUCCUCGUCAUAUUUGGCUUCCAAUCUGA
rnacentral:rRNA from 1 species